AUACGUAGGACCCGAGCGUUGUCCGGAAUUACUGGGUGUAAAGGGUGCGUAGGCGGACUUGUGCGUCAGAGGUUAAAGAUCACAGCUCAACUGUGGGAGUGCCUUUGAUACGGCAAGUCUUGAGUGCGAGAGAGGAUGAUAGAAUUCCUGGUGUAGCAGUGAAAUGCGUAGAUAUCAGGAGGAAUACCAGUGGCGAAGGCGGUCAUCUGGCUCGUUACUGACGCUGAGGCACGAAAGCGUGGGGAUC
rnacentral:rRNA from 1 species